GACGAACGCUGGCGGCGUGCUUAACACAUGCAAGUCGAACGGAAAGGCCCUGCUUUUGUGGGGUGCUCGAGUGGCGAACGGGUGAGUAACACGUGAGUAACCUGCCCUUGACUUUGGGAUAACUUCAGGAAACUGGGGCUAAUACCGGAUAGGAGCUCCUGCUGCAUGGUGGGGGUUGGAAAGUUUCGGCGGUUGGGGAUGGACUCGCGGCUUAUCAGCUUGUUGGUGGGGUAGUGGCUUACCAAGGCUUUGACGGGUAGCCGGCCUGAGAGGGUGACCGGCCACAUUGGGACUGAGAUACGGCCCAGACUCCGACGGGAGGCAGCAGUGGGGAAUAUUGCACAAUGGGCGGAAGCCUGAUGCAGCAACGCCGCGUGCGGGAUGACGGCCUUCGGGUGUAAACCGCUUUCGCCUGUGACGAAGCGUGAGUGACGGUAAUGGGUAAAGAAGCACCGGCUAACUACGUG
rnacentral:rRNA from 1 species